rnacentral:rRNA from 1 species
ACGCCAACGCGUGUCCCUGCUGGAUCCACCCGAUCCAACCCCGCCGGCGGCCUCCUCCCGCAUCCCCGCCGGCGGCCACGCCAACACGCGUCCCUGUUGGAUCCACCCGGUCCAACCCUGCUGCCAUCAACCUCGCCAGCCGCCGACGCCGCUGACAUCGCCUCCAUCCACCCCGCUAUCAACUUCACCACUCAACCGAAGAUCGACGAUGUCGCCGAGGGCGCAAAGGAGACGGUGCAGGAGACCAAGGAGGUCGUGCUCGACGAGUCCGACGAUGAUGAGGACAAGUUCAAGCAGUGGGUCGGGAACAGCAGCUUUCCAUCAGUAUAUCACCCGCUCAAUUCCGGUGAGUGGAUGGAGAGCUACGAGCAGUGGAUGAAGAUCUACUAG